AUGGCAAUAUCACAUUGAAACACCAGUUCUUAUAUUAUCACUGAAGUGAAGCAAUGUUGAAUCUGGUCAGUACUAAGAUGGGUGACCAUGUGGGAACAUCAAGUGCUGUAAG